rnacentral:lncRNA from 1 species
CACUGUUCUGGAAGACAACAGCCGAGAGCUAGAACUUCGAAUCAGUGCCAUUGUUGAUUACACCCAGUUCAAGCUAGAAGCUAACUUGGUGCAGUUCAAGGAGACCUUGCUCUUCCAGACCAGGGUGUUCAAGUUCCAGCUGUCCAAUAAGGGGAAUGUGGCGCUGGAGUACUCCUGGAAGGUGGUCAUGGAGGACAGCAGAAGGGCAGUCAACUUUACUGAAGAACCGUUGCCAUACUGUCCUGAAGGAGAGUUCCCAUCUGCCACAUCUGCUGCCUCCACCAAAAUACCAUGCAGUCGACCCACUAGCCAGCUAGGCAGUGUUCUGGAGAGUGUCUCAUCCUUCCUGUGUGCUCUUGCUGCUCUCCCUCCAUUCUCCAUGGAACCCAGCAGUGGCCUCAUCCCAGCCGGGAAGAAGCAGCAGUUCCUGUUGAAAUUCUCCCCACUGGAAGUGGGAGAAUUUGAGGGCCGCCUACUCUGCAGGUAGGA